CCAGACAGAAGGGAGCUGACUUGCCUCGUGUGGCAUGCUGGUGGGAAGAGGAAGUCAUGCUCGAGGUCCUGCACACAGUACUGAAGCAGAACACUGCUCUCGGGGCACUGGCAUUCCAACAGGGAGACGGGCACAUGGCAAUGACAAUGACGGCCACGUGAGCUUGGCUGGAGAGGGACCGGAGCACACAGCUGGUGGACCCCAGCUCUGGAAGGCUUCUGGAGAGGAGAACAUUUGAGUAAGUAAGCACCUGGGUUGGCAAGACUUAAGAGUGUUAAAUUAGGCCCUGAAAUUGCAACCUGCAAAGAGCAACGGGGAGGUUCCUGCACCUCCUGUACAUGGAGUGAGUCCCAAGAAGCAAGUGGCCUCCAGGGAUCUGGUGUAAACUAGGGGUUAAUGAUUAACUAGAGACAGAGCGUCUACUCUGCCAGGUGGGGAGCUCAAGGAAGUCCAAACAGCCACAAUAUCCAUCAUUUAUGGAGAGAAGGGACAAGCCCUGUGCUACAUACUUUUCCUCUGUUACAUGAUUGUUACAGUCACUAUUUCACACACUAAGAAUCCCAGGCUCCCAGCAGUGCAAGGCUUUGUGCAAAACCUCCCAGCUGGAAGCAGUGGGAGAAUCUAGAGUUGAGAGAUCAAGAUCCAGGGCUCUAUCUCUCUACUUCCUGCUGAAAUUGCUCCUAGACCUGCUGGUCGUCUUAGCCCUGGAAUCAGUGUCUUGGACAAGUUGCAGCAACACCUGCUACUAUGGGGCAAAAAGGAGACAGACAGAAUUUUGUGGCUGAAGUGACUCAGGUUCAAAUUUCAGCUCUCGUUAAAUCCACUUCUCACAACCUCAAGGAAGUUGCUUUACUCUCCCAGAAGCUCACAUCUCUCUUCUGGAACAUGGACAUCAUAGUGUGGUGAGCCUUCGGGAGACUGAAGUCCAUGAGUUUCCUGAACUUCAUGAAGAGUCAACACAAGUGGGCAGUCCCUUUCUUCUGGAGAACGCUGCUAAGGGUCCCUGCC
rnacentral:lncRNA from 1 species